CCUUGCGUUUGACUCUUAUCAUUUGCAAAGAAUAUAAGAAGUCCUUGUAUUUAAUUUUUUGAAAUCCAGAAAGUGAUAAAGUCGUUGUAUAUACUUUCAUAAUCGUUGCAUUGAAAAUCUAAAUGCAAGGACUUCAAGUGAAUUCCUUGCCCGACCCCUUACAAUUAUUGACUCCGCUCUCGGUGAGGUGAGUCUAUCACUUGGCUAUUGGAGGAAAAUAACAAAAAUUCUCCUCUUACUCCGAAAAGAAGAAGACCCCAGAUCCACGAAUACCCCAACCUCUAGAUCUGCUUUCUUACUGCCGAUCUGGUACUACGCAUGAAUACCCACUCCCAAACUGAAGCUAAUUUCUCCAUUUCAAGCACCGUCGUCAUCAUCGACACCUUCAUCCGCUUUAAACUGUACCAAUCUACUGAUUGAGUAAAACCCAUAUCAUCUCUCGGGUCAUUUCUGAGUCCUAUGAUGAUUGAAGGUGUUGGGUUUCUUUUGUUUCAUUUAAGGCUAACUUCUUGAAACUAGUUUAAAAUGGUUGAUAGCAACCCAUCAUCUACAAAGGUACAAUUAAUCUAGGCCAACUUUAUACAAUAAGG